GUUAGGGAGAGUUAAUGGAUCAACCACAACCAUAUACAGAGGUCUCUCACAAGCAUACAACAUCUUCAAUUCCAAAUCUCUCUUCUUCACCCAAGUAGUGUAAGCUUCCAGAGCUACACAGUUGCACGGACCAAGCUCGGAUCUUCCUUUCCUAUGCACAUCAUGCCAAGCUUGUAUCAUCUUCAGCUUCAAAUGUUGGGGAUCU
rnacentral:lncRNA from 1 species